UACGAAGGGGGCUAGCGUUGCUCGGAAUCACUGGGCGUAAAGCGCACGUAGGCGGACUUUUAAGUCGGUGGUGAAAUCCUGGAGCUCAACUCCAGAACUGCCUUCGAUACUGAGAGUCUCGAGUCCGGGAGAGGUGAGUGGAACUGCGAGUGUAGAGGUGAAAUUCGUAGAUAUUCGCAAGAACACCAGUGGCGAAGGCGGCUCACUGGCCCGGUACUGACGCUGAGGUGCGAAAGCGUGGGGAGCAAACAGG
rnacentral:rRNA from 1 species